rnacentral:lncRNA from 1 species
CCAUCAAACAUGAAACUCAUAAGGGAUGUUGUUACUUUGCCUUUCACAUUUGCAAUAUCAGCACAAAUGCAAUAACAUAGUAAUUCACGUCUAACUAAAUUGAUUGCUCUAAGCAACUGAGAGGUACUGCUCAUGGCAAGAUAUUCACUCGUCUUGACAUUCUAAAGACAGAAGUAAAUCGAAGCAUUGAAUGUCAUUGAUUCAAAUCUACAACCUUAAGAAAAGCUAAUAUCCUUUCAUUUGAUCAUUUUGAAGCUACAAUAGGAAAAUUAACAUGGAUCAUCAUAACUUAUGCGACAAAUGGCAUUCCCACUCCCAAAAGUCACGUCGAGUUGCUGCUCUUUCCGAUUUAGUUAGAAUACCAACUUUAUAUACCUUUAGUAUUUAGUUCUUAGAAAUGCAGAAAGAGUGGGAUAAAAACACACAUUCGUUUAUGAAGGCAAAUAUUGUUUUAUAGAAGAUUCAAAGUUCUUGCAAGUUCCUUUAAGCAGCAAAAUGAACUUCUUACAGCUUCAUUGAAGAGUUGCAUGCUGCACAUUACCAGAUAGAAAAGGAAAAAGGUGCCAGACUGGUAGAUUACAGAUGAAUGAUUCUGUAAUCACUCACUUGCAGUUCUCUAUAUCUUGUCUUAAAUCUUUCCAGUCCAUCUUUAGUAGUGAAUUACUAACUCUUAACAAAGCUUCUAAAUGAUAAUUUCCUUCGUAUAUCUCUUGAAAAGCUAAUCAUACAUUCAACUUCUAAGUGAAGCAGAGGAUAUUUAAAACAAAGAACAGGAAGCAUAUUAUCACUCUUUUGGCAAGAAACAAUAUGAGACUCCAGUAGAAACUCAUUGAUGAAUGAGCAUCUAGUUUGGCAUGAAGAAGAUAUGGAGCAAUGCAGAUCAUACCUGUGGCCUAUCAUGAAACGCACAACGAUCCCCUUUUCUCGCUCUAAUCUAUGUAGCUUUGCACCUAUGCAAAGAAACAGAAUGUUGUCAAAGGAGGAAGAAAAUGAAAAUGGAAGAAGUAUAUACAUCAAUAAUGUUAUAAUUAACACCUUGAGGCAUCCAAGUCUUUCUAAUAGAAUCGCGCCUUUUUCUACUACUGAAGGUCGUGUUUAUCCCAAUAACCAUAAAUGUCUUCUUUCUGGGCCUACGUCCUCCAGAAUCUGUGCUCAAGGAAGGAACCUCUUCAGUUAUCCGUGGAAUUAGAGGAUCCUUAGUUGAAGGCAGCUCACUUUGAAUCUUAGAAAUUGAAUCAUCCAGCGAUCUGUUCAAUGCUCCGAUAAAUAGAAGGACCAUCAAGAACAGAACUAAGUAAAACAUCAUAAGUUUUGAACAACACUUCUUCUCUACUUCUCUUUUUAGCAUAAGUUUGUAAAAACAAGGUGAAGCUCACAAAAAUAAUAAUUUAUAAACAUAUUUUUUAUGUGGUGUAACAUAUAUUGUCAUGUUAAGUACAAAAAAUAAAGUGUAAGGUAAUCACAUUAAAACUCUGAAACACACUGGAUAGGUACUUGGGCUUUGUUAAACUUUCCCAUCAUCUCCUCCUUCUGCUCAUAAAACAUCAUCCAUAUUUAGAAAACUGCAAUAAUAACUAUAACAAUGACAAAAAAAAAAGUUCUAUUCUUUGUUUGUUGGGGGGUGGGGGGUUGGAAACAAAAUUAAUUUUACCGUCUUAUCAACAUCAUGUAUUAGCACAAUUAAAUAAUGUAUUAGCACCAUUCAUUCCAGAAUCUCAUAAAAAAUAGUAUACAGUAACAAAAAUGUCCACUUUCACUUAUGCUUAGCUUUUACCACUUAAAGAAGAUUAUUUUUUGCCGUUUACAUCUUCAGCUUCACAUUUAUUUCUUUUUUCACACCUCAAUUUUCGUGAUUUCUUAAUUUGGUUUCAUAGUUUUACAUGUGUUCGGUCAAGAGGUCAUUUUACUUGCACAAAGUUUCCAAGGUAAUUGACAUUUUCUUUUUCGUCCAGAGUUGUUGAUAGUGAAGCUUCACCCAAGUGCAAUCCAAUGGCUACUAUUCAUGUGCAUUUCACUUCUCUUUUUCAUUAAAAACAAUCCUUCCUUUCUAAUGCUUUCUUUUUACCAUUCUUAUACUCAUAAGUUUACUUGAUUGACAUGCCAAAAAAGAAAGAUCUCAUAGCAACAAUACAUAUUAUCAAUGGAGAUAUGGUAGCAUUUACUUACUUCAAAUAGAUGUAUGAUUCUAAAAUCAGCAUGUCCUUCUCAAGUCUGACUUUCUCUUUUUCAUUGAGAGGAGGGUGAGCAACUUUAAACCUACUAAUACAUAAUAUUUCAACUUAUCCUUUAGCUGGUUUUGUAAUAAGCUCUCAAAAAAGUGUAACGAUUAUGCCCUUCUUGCUCUAUAAAAAUUGGCAGAAAAAGAGACUGCAAAAACAUCUUAGUACAUAAAAAAUGAUUAUUAUUUUAUCAAGAGUACAUAAAAAUAACUAAUGCAAUCCAGUUUGUUGGGUAAUCCAACAACUUUCAUCAGUUUAGAUGGUUCUACUCUUUUUGUUCUGAACCUAAAGUGAUGUUAUAACUUGAACUUCUAUUUUUGAACUUAGUACAAACUUCUUCAGGAUUAAAUUCAAUAACAUGAUCUGAAUACAAUAAAGUGCACCAAAAGAAGAGAUGGAAACUUUUGGUGACUGAGCUUAUCUCUCAAACAUAAAUGUAAUAUCACUCAAUUUAGAGAUACCUCGAAAAUUACGAAGUUGUAAACUGCCUCUAGAACAGGUGAGAAAAUGUGCAACAUACUGUGUCUGAAUCUCUCAUGGCUUAUCUAUGACUUAGUAUCGUGAAAGAUACAGUUUGCACAAGUGAAUCAAUCUCCCACAUUUAUAUCCAAAUGCACCAUUUAGCUCUAGAAAAAACCUUUCCUAUUCUGAUACAAAGUAAACUUUCAUGCUGCUAUUUAAAAUUUCAAUUAAAAGAAACAAAAAAAAGAAGACAAAAGAAAACACUUAUGCUACACUUGUUCUUAUCAUGUUGGGCAUCAAGUUAAAACCAUACUCCUGGGCCCGUGAUAUAUCUACCCAAGAUUGAAAAGUAUAGAAACCAUCAAACAUGAAACUCAUAAGGGAUGUUGUUACUUUGCCUUUCACAUUUGCAAUAUCAGCACAAAUGCAAUAACAUAGUAAUUCACGUCUAACUAAAUUGAUUGCUCUAAGCAACUGAGAGGUACUGCUCAUGGCAAGAUAUUCACUCGUCUUGACAUUCUAAAGACAGAAGUAAAUCGAAGCAUUGAAUGUCAUUGAUUCAAAUCUACAACCUUAAGAAAAGCUAAUAUCCUUUCAUUUGAUC